rnacentral:lncRNA from 1 species
UUCAAUAAUCAUUAAUCUUGCUUUUGAUGGAAUGAUAGCCUUCACAAUAAGAUGUCUGAUGUGUGACAUAUAAGGGGUCUUUACGCGGUGUUUACACAAGAAUGAGGACCAACAAAUUCUGCCAUAAACUUGCGUUAAAAUAUGAAAUUAUUUUACGCACAGGUUGAAAUAAGAUAUUUCUUUUUAUACAUGCUACAUGAAAAAAUACCCCCUCCCCCAAAAAAAAAGAAAAAUCAAUAAAAAAAAUCUAACAAAGCAAAGGAUCGUAACAUAAUCUUCAUAAAGAAAAAGAAAUGCGCUGACGAGCAUUACGAGC